AUUGAACGCUGGCGGCAUGCUUUACACAUGCAAGUCGAACGGUAACAGGCCGCAAGGUGCUGACGAGUGGCGAACGGGUGAGUAAUGCAUCGGAACGUGCCCAGUCGUGGGGGAUAACGCAGCGAAAGCUGCGCUAAUACCGCAUACGAUCUAUGGAUGAAAGCGGGGACCGUAAGGCCUCGCGCGAUUGGAGCGGCCGAUGUCAGAUUAGGUAGUUGGUGGGGUAAAGGCUCACCAAGCCAACGAACUGUAGCCGGUCUGAGAGGACGACCAGCCACACUGGGACUGAGACACGGCCCAGACUCCUACGGGAGGCAGCAGUGGGGAAUUUUGGACAAUGGGCGCAAGCCUGAUCCAGCAAUGCCGCGUGCAGGAAGAAGGCCUUCGGGUUGUAAACUGCUUUUGUACGGAACGAAACGGUCCUGGUUAAUACCCGGGGCUAAUGACGGUACCGUAAGAAUAAGCACCGGCUAACUACGUGCCAGCCGCCGCGGUAACAC
rnacentral:rRNA from 1 species